rnacentral:misc_RNA from 1 species
GAUGAAGAACGUAGCGAAAUGCGAUAAGUAAUGUGAAUUGCAGAAUUCAGUGAAUCAUCGAAUCUUUGAACGCACCUUGCACCCUUUGGCAUUCCGAAGGGUAUGCUCGUUUGAGUGUCAUUGCACUCUCACUCUCCCGAUGCUUUUGGAUCGGGAGUGGUGGACUUGGGUGUUGCUGCUUUGCUGUGGCUCGCCUCAAAUGGAGUAGUGCAACUCUUGGUUGGACAUAGUACGGCGUGAUAAGUGUCUUCGCCGGCGCCUCAUUAUAGAGGGUGGCCGAUCGGGAGCUCUGUGCUUCAAACCGUCUUCGGACAACAUCUGACAACUUGACCUCAAAUCGAGUAGGACUACCCGCUGAACUUAAGCAUAUCAAUAAGCGGAGGA